rnacentral:rRNA from 1 species
CAGUCGAACGGAGAUAUUCGCUGAUGAAGUACUUCGGUAAUGAAUCUUGGAUAUCUUAGUGGCGGACGGGUGAGUAACGCGUGAGCAACCUGCCUUUCAGAGGGGGAUAACGUUUGGAAACGAACGCUAAUACCGCAUGACAUUAUCUUAUCGCAUGGUAGGAUAAUCAAAGGAGCAAUCCGCUGAAAGAUGGGCUCGCGUCCGAUUAGGUAGUUGGUGGGGUAACGGCCCACCAAGCCGACGAUCGGUAGCCGGACUGAGAGGUUGGACGGCCACAUUGGGACUGAGACACGGCCCAGACUCCUACGGGAGGCAGCAGUAAGGGAUAUUGGUCAAUGGGGGAAACCCUGAACCAGCAACGCCGCGUGAGGGAAGACGGUUUUCGGAUUGUAAACCUCUGUCCUCUGUGAAGAUGAUGACGGUAGCAGAGGAGGAAGCUCCGGCUAACUACGUGCCAGCAGCCGCGGUAAUACGUAGGGAGCGAGCGUUGUCCGGAUUUACUGGGUGUAAAGGGUGCGUAGGCGGCUUGGCAAGUCAGUAGUGAAAUCCAUGGGCUUAACCCAUGAACUGCUAUUGAAACUGUCGAGCUUGAGUGAAGUAGAGGUAGGCGGAAUUCCCGGUGUAGCGGUGAAAUGCGUAGAGAUCGGGAGGAACACCAGUGGCGAAGGCGGCCUACUGGGCUUUAACUGACGCUGAGGCACGAAAGCGUGGGUAGCAAACAGGAUUAGAUACCCUGGUAGUCCACGCUGUAAACGAUGAUUACUAGGUGUGGGUGGACUGACCCCAUCCGUG